UACGGAGGGUGCGAGCGUUGUCCGGAAUCACUGGGCGUAAAGGGCGCGUAGGCGGCCCGCGCAAGCGUGCGGUGAAAGCCCGGGGCUCAACCCCGGGUCGGCCGUGCGGACUGCGGGGCUCGAGCACUGUAGGGGCAGAUGGAAUUCCGGGUGUAGCGGUGGAAUGCGUAGAGAUCCGGAAGAACACCGGUGGCGAAGGCGGUCUGCUGGGCAGUAGCUGACGCUGAGACGCGAAAGCAUGGGGAGCAAACAGG
rnacentral:rRNA from 1 species